GGAGGGGGGGGAAGCCUGCAAAGGGAAAGAGCGUUCUGUCUGGCUGUCAGAGAGUGUGCGCUAGAAGCCUGGGCACGUUCUGGCUUUCCACAGUCUUCAUUUCUCACUAACUCUUAGAGCCAAGAAUGCUGCAGGUUUCUAGAGCUCAGAAGAACUCAAGGACAAGGAUGAGCUUGCAGUGCUACGAUGGCCCUGGGGCCUCAGGCACACCAGGCAAGUGACCUGCCAUGGAGGUACACCUCAGUCCUGGAGAGUGGAAGCCACCUGAUGGUGCUCUCUGCACUUGACCUGUGGGCUACUGGAGCAGCCUGUGCUUGGAGAGGAGGAAAAGCAAUUCAAAAUAGACUUUCCUUAGACAAGUCAAAGCUCCCUAGUCCAGAGCCCUGCUCAGAGUCUGCCAGGAAAGUCCACUGCCAGCAUCAAGGACAAAGGGACAGGCGCGAGUGGCCCUGUUGAUUCGAGCAAGUCUCCAGUGACGAGCAGAGCCACCAGAGCUUAUCUCACAAAGCUUGCCUACUCCAGCUCCUGCACGAAGACCUGGGAUGCCUUUCAGACCGCAGCAGGUGCUCAUGUCUUUUUUUGCUCAGAGAAGACAGGAAACCCAUGAACUACACAGAAAGUAUUCAAGCAUCUGUUUUACAUGGUCUGCCUACACCGUUAGCAUCCGAUAGCAGGUCAGCUGAGCAGCUGAUCUCGUUUUCGAGAAGCCCAAGGCAGAAGGAAGCGAUCAAACAGCCUGUGCCUGGGCAUCGUGGGCAUCGUGAGAGGUGGCACCACAGCAGUCUCUGAGAGGAGGGGGAAGGACAGCAGAGCUGCAGCACUCUUCUCUCCUCUAUCGAAUGCAACAAGAGCUUCCUGGAUCUAUAACAGACAUGCAGGCCCCACUCUCACAGACAAGGGGACAAUGGCCAGCAUGUGGUAAGGGGUAGCAUGUUUGAGCACUUUCUACUUCAGCUGUCCAGUGAAGGAAGUGUCAGUACAAGCAAUUCAACAUCACUUAGCCUCAGAAAGGAAUAAAGUUCUGGUGAGCCUUGAAGGCCUCUUGCUAAAGUAAACGGAACCAGGAGGAGGACUCCAGUUAGGAGACACCUCCAGUCAUCAAACCCCAGAGACAGCAGAGUGGAGACUGACCAGAACUGCAAGAGGAAUGGGGACUGCUGAUGGGCAAAGCUUCUACAAGGGUGAUUCAAGUCUGGGGAGACAGUAUGCAUGGGCCUGGACAGUUGGGACUGCACAUGCUGCUGAAGGCACACCUGUGGUGUGUAGGUCACAGACUUCUGGGACUAAAAGUGUGCACCACCACACCCAACACAGAAACCCCAAAACACCAAAUGGAGGAACUGCCUUGGACUAGUGUUUCACUGAGCAGGCCUACAGAGUGUGAUCAACCUCUUAGGUUAAACUACAAAAUAUGCCUUCACACAGCAAGUGACUGCAGCUUUUGUAUGACCCAGGAGUGAACAAGCACAGUGGGACAGGCUUCUCACACACAAGAGGGACACCACCAAUCUGGUAGUCCUGUAGAUAAAAUCUGUAAUGGGUCAGAUUCUGGCCCAUGUCUUCUUCCCUUUGAAGUCAACUUAAGGAAUGGUUCCAAGACACGAACAACAACAAACAUUACAAAUAAGCUCACAGAUGAGUCUGUCUGUGAUGCUUGGAAAGCACAAGGACCCCGAACGGAACAGUCAACAGUGCCAAGACCUGUGAGGAGGGGACAAUGGUCCCAGCAAGUGGGGAGGUGCAGUAUACCCCUGAGUGAAGGAGUACACGCACCCCACAAGGCAACUCUCUCUCCAGUGCUUCCUCCCACCGUGUACUGAGGCUGGAACUCGGGGUCUUGCACAUGGCAGACAGUGACAAUGAGCACCCCUCUCCCACCGCAUCAGCAGACUCUGGUCUUCAAAGCACCCUCCACUGCAGGCCUGAGAGAGGGAGCAUCUCACUAUGCCAGAAAUCAAGGGAGCAGCUGCGGCUGAAAGCCCUUGUGGACUACAAUGGGAACUGGCAGGCCAACAUGGUCUGGAGGCCCGACACAGGGGGAAUGUGGCUGCAUGACAGAGAGCAGUCUGCCGGCACCCUCACUCCUGCCCGGCCACCACAGAUGAUGUAGCAUCCACGAUGAAGAUGUCGCCUGAGUUACACAGGCGACCUUUGAUGUACUCCAGCCAAAACAGCCUGCACUUAGAGCAGCUACAGGGGGUCUCUCUUUGAACCUAGACCUUGCUGGUUUUCAUCCAGCAGCUGACAGACAUCUGAGCUGCCUCUUGGCUGUCUUGAAGGAUGUUCCUAUGGCCACUUGUACGACUCUGCCUGAACGUGUAUUUUAAUUUCUUCUGUGUAUACAGAGUAGAGUUGCUGACUGGCAUGGUGAGUUUCUGUUUAGCUUUAGAAGAGACUGCCAGUGCUUUCCAGAAAGGACAUGCCACUUUCCCUUCCCACAGUGGGAACUGGGAAUGUCUCUUUUUGACCUGUGCUGUGACUGGGACCAGCCCCACCAGGCCAGCAGACAAAUCCCUCGGAACAAAGACCUCAAGUUUCCAAGAGAAGCAGAGCAGUGAGGGGACUCAUCACCACUAGACUACCUCCAUCAGACUUGUGUGAGGAGGGACUCAUCACCACUA